UCUUCCGCAAUGGACGAAAGUCUGACGGAGCGACGCCGCGUGAGUGAUGAAGGUCUUCGGAUCGUAAAACUCUGUUGUUAUGGAAGAACAAGUAUCGGAGUAAAAUGCCGGUACCUUGACGGUACCUAACCAGAAAGCACCGUCUAACUACGUGCCAGCAGCCGCGGUAAUACGUAGGGGGCAAGCGUUGUCCGGAAUUAUUGGUCGUAAAGAGCACGCAGGCGGUUAUUUAAGUCUGAUGUGAAAUCUUGUGGCUUAACCACAAGCGGUCAUUGGAAACUGGAUAACUUAAGUACAGAAGAGGAGAGUGGAAUUCCACGUGUAGCAGUGAAAUGCGUAGAGAUGUGGAGGAACACCAGUGGCGAAGGCGGCUCUCUGGUCUGUAACUGACGCUGAGGUGCGAAAGCGUGGGUAGCGAACA
rnacentral:rRNA from 1 species